CUAGAAGCAUAUGAUGGACCUACGAACAGGACCCUUCAAAUCAAAAUGUAUCGUUUAGGAAUAUUCUGAAGGGGAAAGUCUGUGACUGCAUUCUCUGAGAACCAUCUGCUCACCUACUUAUGUCCCUUAAAACUGAAGCUUUAGGAUAUCCUUUGAAACCUUUUUGUUUCUUAUCAUAUAAUGUAUGGUACCAUAAAUACCAUUGCAUUUGAUUUUUGUGUGAAACAACACUAAAUCACUAUUAAAAAGGAAAGAAUGAGGUUAUCUUGCUGACAAUUUAAAGAAAAGACUUCUUCAUAAUAUAUUUACGACAUCUAAAAUGCCUUUUGUCCUCAGGGUAGCACUGUAGUUCUUCGGUGCUUGAGUUGAUACUGCAAUUUAAUACUGUACCUACAAAGAAAAUUACAGUUUUUAAACUGUUUAUUCCAAGUGCUUUCAAAAUGAAGACACUACUAAAGUGGUGAAAGCAUGUGGUUGGAAAAAAAAAAGUAGUAGGAGAUUAUUAAUUUCUUAAAGGUAAAGAUUAUUGCAAAUUCAAAAGAUCCCACUCAUUAUCAAUAUGUGGUCCUUCUACAGUUUUGCAUAGUAUAACAUAUUCUUAAAAUGGGAUACAUAGUGACUUUGUAGCAUCAACUAUUUAAAUUUUCUAGCUCCUGAGUCCUUUUCUUGCUGUGAAAUGUGUUCAUUUUAUUGUGUGAUGAUAUUAACAUAUAUCAAGAAUAUAAGUGAAAUAUUAAAUCUUGUCAUGUUCAGGGUUUUAGGGUUCUUAAAAAUGUGUAAAGGUGUUUUUACACUGUGUAAAAAAAAACUUUAUAUGUUUGUGAGAUUUUGAGUUACCUAAUUUUAUAAACUAAAUUACUUUGUGAAAAAAAAAAUGCUUAGAAUCAUAUGUUCCAUGUAGCUCAAUAUUGUUUUCUGGAAUUGAAUUAAAUUAUAUCUACAGUUGCUUAACAGAAAGAGCACUUAAUUUGUAAUCCACAGACCUCGUGGUCUUAGGCAAGCCAUGUAAUUUACUUGUCUUUCAAUUUCCUCAUCUGUAAAAUGGGGAUAAUAACUCAAAGGAUUGGUCUAAGGAUCAAUGCUUAUGAAUAAAAAGCACCUAGUACAUGACACAUGGUGGGUGCUAUAUCCCAGCUAUUAUUAUUAUCCAAAUGGCUUAUUACUGAAGUAAUGAAAGAAAGCUUUUAUACAGUCAUAUCAAUGGUAGUUCUGGGUUAUAGUCUCAGAGACAUCAUUACUAUGAGGAUAUAGAGAAUUUAGGAAAAUUUUAAAAAUUAUUUAAACAAAAUUUGAAAAACAUUGUAGGCAUGUAUUACCACAUACAAUUAUAUCUGCCUACCUAUGUAUUUAAUCACUAUCUUUUAGAAAACACACAACAAAAGUUCAGUUUGCCGUAGUUCAUUAUAGAGUUAAUAGGAGCUUGGAGAUUUGAUCUAAUAACAUGCACUUCAUAGUAGAGCAAACCCAUGAUGUUAUCAGAAAUUUUGGAGAAGUCCAGGAUUGGGGUGUACAGGUGUACCCACCCUGAGAACCAGUGGAUCUAUAUAAGUCUGGUGUAUUGGUUUCAGUACAAUGAUAUUUAUAUACAACUUUGUAUCAAAUAAGUUUGCUAAGCCCUAUUAUAAGUUAAAACUAUUUUUAAACCAUAUUUCCCCACCCUGGUUUGGAAAUUGAUAAAACAGUUUAAAGCUGAAAAACAUAAACUACAGUAACUCAAUAAACAAUUUAAAAAUAAGUUGUGUAGGUAGCUGGAAAAAAUUAUAAAUCUCAAAAGUAUAGAUUUAAGAUAAAGCCCAGUUAUCUAGAAUUAUAAGGUUAUAGUACAUUUUUGGUUGAGCACAUUUAGCUUUUUCUAUUCCUCCAUUUUGCCUAGCUGCCAUUUCUUAACUAUGAAAGGAAUUGAAGAGUCCAUCAGAGCUUUUGUUCGCACUAAAGAAUAGUCAUUUGAAGAAAAUGGUGCCAGGCCAGACAUGUAAAGAUAUUUAAAGAAAAGAAGGAAGGUGAUAGGCCUAAAUUCAGGACUAUUAGCAUAUUCACAAUGGUACAGGUAUAGGCUAAGCUUGGUCACAGGUGAAAGGCAGUAGUGUGAGAACUCAUGGAAUUAACAAAGCUACUUCACACAAAGGGACGGAUGGUACUUCCUCCAUGUCCAUUCCUUUCUAAGAUUUCAGUGGCAAACAGCGUAUGUAAGGCUGCAGUGACAAUUUGUUUCAGUGGCCCUAAAAAAUACCUAUAUGUACCAUAGAUUUAAUGUGUAAAAUUAAAAGCAAUGUAUAUUAAAUAUUUUCUAGGAAUCUGUGAUUUUGUGACCAAAGAUCUGAAUAUACUUAAAAACAAAUCCUAAUUUUUUUCUAAAGAAACAUGAUAAAUAUCUGGAUAGCUGGCUACAUUUUGAAAUAUUCACCCAAUAUUUCUGCAAUAGUCAGCAUUUCAAUAAUAAUUUUAUUUGCUUUUUCAUGGCUUUGAAUUGGGUAUUAUUUUGUUUCUUUGUUUUGUUCUAAGUCUAUAUAUUUUUUUUCUUGCCACCAUUUGCUGUGAUUACAGAUAUAGGUUUAGAGUUUAGCCUUUGCAAUAUCAUCAGUUGAUGGCAUGUCUACAGCAAUAUGGUGGAUAAUAUUUUUUAUUUUCAUAGUAUGAGUGCUACUUGACUCUGACUGAAUGAUUUUCUGUUACAAGAUUUUCUUUAGUUUAUAGACCUACUUUACCUUGGCUUCUGAAUAUGCUGAAAUCCUUCUGCCCUUGGUUAUAACACCUUUUAUUUGUUAACAUUUAAAAUGCUUUCAAAUCUUUAACAAUAAUAAAGGCAUUAGUUAUUUUAAUUAAUUUGUAUGGAUGGAAUAAAACCAAAGGGAAGGUGUCAUUUUCUGGUUGCAAUAAAAAGAUAUAAAAGUUAAUUGCUUUUCUUUUCUUCCUUUUUUUUUUUUUUUUUGAGAGGCGUCUCGCUCUGUCGCCCAGGCUGGAGUGCAGUGGCACGAUCUCGGCUCACUGCAAGCUCCACCUUCUGGGUUCACCCCAUUCUCCUGCCUCAGCCUCCCGAGUAGCCGGGACUACAGGCGCCCGCCACCACGCCGGCUAAUUUUUUGUAUUUUUAGUAGAGACGGGGUUUCAUCAUGUUAGCCAGGAUGGUCUCGAUCUCCUGACCUCGUGAUCCGCCCGCCUCGGCCUCCCAAGGUGCUGGGAUUACAGGCGUGAGCCACCGCGCCCGGCAAUUGCUUUUCUUUUCUAAGAAAAUUUUGCUGACAUCCUUGGUACAUAUUGCUAUUCUUAAAUGUUUGAGUUUACUAAUCCUCAACAGUAAAUAUCUUUAAAAAUGUAUAACCUUGCUUAAUAUUAGUUACCUAAGAAUGCCACAAGAAACUGGCAUCUUUAUAGUUACUUUAUAUUACAGAGUGUAAUAAAUUCUAGAAAGAUGGGACUAAUUAUGGUAACAGACAUUUUAUACUCAAUAAAAACUUUCCUUAAUUUCACCCUUAUGCAGGGAGUCUCAGUAGAGUACCUCUCUUUUGUGUCUUGGUUGGUAUGGCAUGGCACUAAGUGACAUUAGAUUAGCAACUGGGGAACAACUUUGUGAAACUGUUUAUGGAAGUGAAUUUUCAGAGUUCACGGUUGUGGGUUUUUUUCCUAUCUCAGAUCACCUAGCAACUUUAGAUUCAGGCGGAAGUUGGAGUUUAUUUUACAAAACAUGAAAAAGCUUUUAAACCAACAUUUUUGAGGUAAAUCUGUAGCAAAAGUGAGGCCACCUGCUGUUAAGAAAAGUGCCUACACAUUCAUCACAUUUCUGUCCCCAGUAGAGGGUACUGCUGAGUAAAACACUGCCAUUGUUGUUCAGAUCCUAUAGGUGGCAGCAGUUCCUACAGUUUCAGAGCAUAACAAUGGCUCGAUUUGUGGGUCUAAGAAUAAAGCUGUCACGAACUCAUGGAAUCUUUAUACUGUAAGGGCUCUUCUUUGAAAUGUGAUACAUGAGAAAAUUACCAUUAAUGUUUAGUUUCCCUUUUAAGAUUUAAGUAGCUUAUCUUUCUUUUAAGUUCCAUUUUGUAUUUGAAAGUGUGUCCCCAAACAAGUAUUGACAGCCGUAAUUUUAUGGUGUUAAAUUAUGAAGUAUAAAUUUUUAGGUAAUCUCAGGGAAAGAUAUGAUGUAAACUUUUUUUUCUUUUCCUCUCCCACCCUAGCCUUCCACCCCAAUUACAAGAAUCAUCCAUUGUUAAUGUUGACUGCUGCUGCAAUCUUGAGAAGGAAGUCCUAGUUGCUAUACAAGCAUAAUUUUCUCCAUGUUCAGGAGCUGAGUGCUUAAUGGUUUUAACAUUGCCAUUCAACUUUUAGGAGGCUUUGAACCAAAUUGUAGCACCUAUCAAAGAGUGAUUUUAUAACUCUCUUUAAGAAAAAAGAUUUGAAACAUACUGUAGUUUCUGUUAGGCGACACAGAACUGAGGAUGUAAGUACUGUACUCUUAGAGCAACUCACCUUUUGCCACUCCCAAGCAGCAGAGUGCUUGUUACUUCAGUGGGUCACUUGCACACACAUACACACACCCUCCACACAUCCAGAAUAAACUCCAUAUUAGGUAUAACAAUUGUAAUUCAUUCAGUUUUAACGGUCAAGUGAACAUUAAAAAAAUUUUCCCUGCUAAUUAUUGUGUUUAGUUCAGAGAGUUGCAAAAUGCUAAAUAAAACUAGUUUUUUGGUUCAAGUCAAAAUAGAGUUAAGCCUAUCUCUAGAAAUGCCUAUUCAGAAAUUCAGCAACCCUUGUCUUAUUGCUCAAAUUAAUUAUCCAGAAACUGUAUUAUGAUCGUUUACUCAAAUUAAUAUGAAAAUCUGAGAAUUCUAUCUUUGUUUUAAAUUCAGGAAAGACUAGAUUCUUUUUAUUUAUCAUUUGAGAUAACAAAGUAAACUAAUGGCAAUGUAUGAGUAUCUUAACGUAUUUUGAAGGGAAUAGGUUAAACUGUUACUCUUUUGGAGCUGAUCUCUUUGUAUCAAUUAGGUACAUUUGUAAACUCUAUAUUUUUGAACCAUAUUUUUGGAACUAAUCUAAAGCUGUGAAAUGAAUACAUUAUUUCAAAUUAAAACAUACAUAUUUAUAUGUAUUAUACAUAUCAUACAUAGAGAUGCAUAUAUAUAUUUAUUGAAGAUAAAGGAAAUGUAGGUUUUAGGGUUGUAGAACAUUUGGAUCAUAUAAAUAGGAGAUACAUGCCUAUACUUUCUAUCAUCCAUAUUAUGUGUGUGUGUGUGUGUAUGUAUAUAUGAAUACAUUUAUUCAAUAGUAUGUUCAGAAUGAUGUUUUUCAUGAAGAAUUAUUAGUGUCACAUAUGAUUCCAUUUCCCAUUUGGUGGAUGUGAAAGGAAACAGAAUUAUAUAAGCAAAAAAGUUUGCUGGGAACCUCACAUGCUCUUAGUAAUUAUUUUGUGCAUUGUCAGCUACUGAAAAAAUUAUUUGUUUUUAAAGGAACUACUAGGAGCAAAGUAUAAAUCAACUUAUUUUUGAACACUUGUAAUAUUAUAUGUUCAUAUAAAAUCUAUUUUUGAUGGCAUAAUGACAGUUUAAUUAUGUGCAUUUUUUUGUCCUUGCUGUUGUUUUUAGCAUAUUUAUAAUAGCUAGCUGAAUAGGAAAAAAUCAUCACUUAAGGCAAGGCUCUUCAGGUCAUCUGUGAACAUUCUGUCUAUCCUUUCUUUAAAAAUAUUUUGAACACCAAGAUAUGACAAGAUAAAUUCCAUUUUUAUUUUUGCAAUUCUCUUUCAGAAGCUUAUGUUAAAAUUAAUUUCAGUUUAUAUUAUUUUCUUAUGUAACUUAUGAACAUGUAAGGAUGAUCACUUUGUUCUAAUUUGUAAAUUUUUACAAAGUAUUUUAGUAAAAUGAUAUAUGUCCUUCAGUGAAUUCAUAUUGCUAUUCAACAAAACAUUCCCUAAUGAUAAAGUUGAUAUUUAUGUUUUGUAAGUAAAAUCAUUUCGAUGAAUGACAAAGCUUUUGAUGAAUCAGAUACUAUCAAAGCUUGGAGUUGUUUUCAGAAAUUGAAUGUAUGCUGGUUUAAAAAAUAAGCUAAAAUAUAUUUUUAGGUAUCAUACAUAUGGGGAAAAAAUGAGAUAUAUAGUUAAGUUUGAACAGCUUAGACUCAUUUAAACCCGGGUUUUAGAAAUUUCAAUUCCUUGUAAUUAAAAAUUCUGUUGAUCUAUUUAAAAAUGAAUAUGUAUUUAACUUUCCCAUAUUUAACAAUAGUAAACUUUAAUAUUAGUAAAAUAUUACCUAAAAGAUGUUCACAGAAACUGUUGACAUGUUUGAAAGGAUAGAAUAUAAUUAACUCAUGCAUUUUGAGGGGAAUUUUAGGGCUUAGAGAAUUGCAUAAUAGACUGAUAGGGAAAGACUUUCAGGAGAGGGAGCACAGUGACUGAUAUGCCUGAAUUUGAGAAAGCAGCAGAUACAAUAAAUGUCUGAUUCUAUGUAACAAGUAGUAAAUGGAAUUUUUCACUAAUUGAAUUUUUCUGUUUAACCUAGUGUCCAUGUGUACGUAUUGUACAUAUGACUAGUUUUGUAAGCAUUAGAAUAUAAUAAACUUAAUCUUAAACAUACACCCAAAACAAUUACUUCCAAAAAUUCUUCAGGAGGUCUAUUGGAAUCUUUAGUGUGAAUGAUUAUCAUUGUGAGCAUCUAUUGCUAUUUUAGAGUCUUGCUUAUGGGGAAAAAUAAUUUGAUAAUGAUUGAGCUUUCUGAUUACCUGGGUACUACAUAAAUAAGAGUGUUAACACUAAUUUCUGUACAUUUAGGUAAAUAUAUUUACUUAUAAACAUUUAACGAAAAUAUUAUUAUUAAACAUAGUUCUAUUUUGAGUAAAUAAUUUAAAAUGCUGGGACCGUUUUCUCUGAGUGGCCUUCUUCAGACUUCUGGACCCUAGAAAUGGCCUUAUACUUCACCCUAGGAGGGCCCUUUUUUUCACAGGCCUGAAACUCUGUAGAAUCCAUGUUGGAUAUUAUUAAUGAACAUGUUUCUUUUUGUAGAGGGGAGAAUGAUGAUUAGAAAGGUAAAUUAGUAUCAUAAACACUCCAGAUAUUUCAGCAUAUGCGUGAAAUUAUUCUCUCUCUUCAUGGAAUCCAUUGUCUUCAUGUGCAUCUAGUUUCGUGACCUACAAAAGAGGACUUCUGAGCCAUGGGCAUGUACAAUCAGGUUCUGCUUAAAGUCAACAUUUCUUAUAAAGGCACCAUCUGUAUUACAAAGAAUCAUGAUGCCAAUGCUGUGGCUUUGAGUGCUGUCCAAUGGAAUCAACAAGUACAUAUAGCAUGCAUGUUGUGGGCAAGACAUGUGCUUAGCACUAUAUAAAAAUACACUAAAGGCUCCUACAACUGACAUUUUCCCAUUCAGGCCUGACUCUUCAGCCCUCUCUACUCUCUUACCUGAAUAGAUAUGUCACCCUCAGUCAGUGUGGGGAGAAUAAAGCUGAAUGUGAAAUUUAGCUGCCUUAACAUUUAAAGUCAACUUUUCAUUUAACUCAUUUUUUUCUUCUGUGCUUUCAGAAAAACAAUGAUGAGAUCAAAAUUAGUUACUCAUGAAUUCAACCACAGUUAUUAAACUUUACUAUUUUUGAGGUAUAGGGAUCCAACAGUACCUGUUCUGAAGUUCAUUUUAGUCUAAUGGACUUUAUUAGCCUUAAAGAUGUUAUCUAGUUAAUGCAAUAUAUUACACAUAGGCAGUGUAAUUGCUCUCCUCUGUUUAGAGAGUGUAUAUGAGUAGUCAUAAAUUCUUGAUGGCAUAACCCAAACUGGUAUCCUAAAUCCUUGACUUCUAAUUUUAGACCAUUGUACUUCUAAAGUUUGCUUGUAAUUUGAGUAUUAAGAAAUUAAAGGACAAGAACAUAUGAAGGCCAUCAUGUAGCUCAAGGUCUAAGGGAAAAUAAUGCUGUUUCAGUUCUCAAUAUAAAACAAAAAUAAUUAUAUGAGUAAUUAUUCAUUUUGAAAACUGAUCUUCAAGUAAAACUGGGCUUAAUCAAAAAAGGAGUAAGCCCUGAAGACCUUUUGCAUUGUAAAAUUCUAGCAAAGUUGUGAUUCCCGUUGAUUUUAAAGAGUGAUAGGAGUGGAGCUUCUGAAUAUCCCCUGAGAUUUUAGAAGUAUAUGAUACUGGCAGUUGUCACAAAAAUAUAUUUCUAGAGAAGUCUGAAUAAUUGACUCUUUAAAAAUUAUGUUUUCUUGCAAAAUCUCUAAGGAACUGAAGAAGUUUCUAAGAAUCACAGGCAUGCUCUUAAAGCAUUACCAUGAGCCUUUACUCUGAAAUACCUCAUAGUGGUACCUCAUACCUUCUUUGCAGAAAUGAGUGCCUAAGUCCUAAUGGGGAGAAAUGUACUCCAAAAUGAUCUGAAGCCAUUGGCAGGGAGACAGAAGAGAUACUAUUAGCAGAGCAGAAACAAAAAUAGGUGGAUAGAGCCAAUGGGUUUUUUUUUUUUGGUAGAAACUGACAAACGAUUUUAACGUUUAUAUGAAAAUGUAAAGAACCAAUAAUAGUCAAAAUCAUCUGGAAGAAAAGGAAGAAAGUUGGAAGAUUUACACUACCAGAUAUCAAGGCUUGUUAUAAAGCUACAGUAAUUAAGAUAGCGUGGUAUUGGUGUAAGGAUUGAUGAAAGUCAAAUAAAAUGAUAAGGAGUCCAAAAAUAUACCCACAUAUAUGUGGAAACUUGAUUUUAUAACAUAGGUAGCACUGCAAAACAAUGAAGAUGGAUGGUAUUUUUAAUAAAAUAUUCUGAUUCAACUGGAUAACCUCAUGAAAAAAAAUCAUGGUCCUCUACCUCAUACCAUAUACAAAUAUCAAUUUCAGAUUUCUAUUUAGACUAUAAGUCUAAAUAUAGAGGGUAAAGCAGUAAAGCUUCUAACAUUAAUGCAUAAGAAUAUCUUCAUGACCCUGAGUUAGGUAAGGAUAUCUUAAAUAGGACAAAAAAAAAAAAACCAUACAGAAAAGAUUGAUAAAUUGGUCUAUGUUAUAAUUAGGAAUUUCUGUUAUUGAAGGACACUAUUUAGAAAGUAGAAAUGUAAGUUACAGAGUAGGAGGCGGUAUUUGAAAUGCAUAUAACUAAGGACUUAUUUUCAGAAUAUAUAACAAAUUCUUACAAAUCAACAGGAAAAAAAAGAACCUAAUUUCACAAAUGUGAAAAACAUGAACAGGCACUUCACGAACAGUAUAUCCAAAUGGCCGAUAAACAGAAAAAGAUACUAAACCGAAAUAGUCACCAGGUAAAUACAAAUUGAAACCAAAAUAAGAUACCAACAUAUUUCCAACAGAAUGGUGAAAACUAAGACUGGCAAAACCAAGUAUUGAUAAUAACGUUGAGCAAUUGAAACUCAUAUACACUACUAAUGGAAAAACCAUUUUGGAAAACUGCUUGACAGUGUCUGUUAAAGCUGAAAGUAUAUGCAUCCUGUUUCCUGGCAAUUUCGUUCUCUGGUAUAGUAGACCCUACAAAAAUGUGUGCACCAAAAGACGUAUGCAAGAAUGUUCAUAGUAUUUUUUAAUAGCUGAACACUGGAAAUAACUCAAAUGCCCAUCAACAUUAGAAAAGACAAAUAAAUUGUGGUUUAUUCAUAUAAUGGAAUAUUUUUAAAGCAAAGAAAAUGAAUCAACUAUUUCCACACACAAUAUGCUGUACAAAUCUCACAAACAUAAUGUUGAGCAAAAGAUGACAGACUCAAAAUAAUACAUACAGUCAUGCAUCACUUAACAAUGGCGAUACGUUCUGAGAAAUGUGUCCUUAGGCAAUUUUGUUGUGCGAACAUCAUAGAGUGUACUUACACAAACCUAGAUGGUAUAGCCUGCUGCACACAUAGGCUAUGUGGUAUAGCCUGCCGCUCUGAGGCUACAAACCUCUCCAGCAUGUUACUGUACUGGAUACUGUGGGCAACUGUAACACAAUGGUAAGUAUUUAUGUAUCUAAACAUAGGAAGGGUACAAUAAAAAACUGAUAUUAUAAUCUGAAGGGACCAACAUAUAUGUGGUCCUUCUCUUACCAAAACAUCCUUAUGCAACAGAUGACUAUACUAUAUGAUUCCAUUUGUAUAAAGUCCAAAGGAUGGCAAAACCAAUCUGUGGUGUUAGAAAUCAGGAUAAUGCUUACCUCUGGGGAAGAGAGAAAGGGAACAAGGGAAGCUUCAGGAGUGCUACUAAUAUUCCAUUUCUUAAACUGGGUGAUGAUUAUGUGGGUGUGUUCACUUUUUUUAUUUUUAUUUUUUGAGAUGGAGUCUCACUCUGUCGCCCAGGCUUGAGUGCAGUGGUGCGGUCUCAGCCCACUGCAACCUCUGUCCCCUGGGUUCAAGCAAUUCUCAUGCCUCAGCCUCCUGAGUAGCUGGGAUUACAGGCCCGUGCCACCACGCCUGGCUAAUCUUUGUAUUUUUUUAGUAGAGACGGAGUUUCACCAUGUUGGCCAGGCUGGCCUUGAACUCCUGGCCUCAAGUGAUCCACCCACCUUGGCCUCCCAAAGUGCUGGGAUUACAGGUGUGAGCCACCGUCUCUGACCUGGGUGUGUUCACUCUGUGAUAAUUCUUUCAGCCAUGAUCUUAUUUUUUUACUUUUCUGUAUGUACAUUGUACUUCAGUAAACAAGUUUAAUAAAAAAGAGAGGUAACAGAAGUUGUGUUUUGUUUGUUGUUUGUUUGUUUGUUUUUUAGCUUUUCCAAUACAGAGCAGAGGAAAAGCAGUCUGGAAUGUGGAUAAGAAGCUCUGGAAGCUUUUUCUGAUUUGAAAGAGGUGGUUCACGAGAUAAAUAUUUUUAACUUAGGCACAAACUCAUAGUGUGUACUGAUGUUGGUCAUAGAAUGCCUCAAUGUUGCAAGGUUCUUCGGGCUGUGGUUCUUUACCUACACAGGAUAGUGUUUAUGAACCUGAAUGUUGUUAAAGGAACUUUAGUCAGAGAGCUGAAAGCCAUUGAGCAUAUAUGUUGCUCAGCACAGAUACCGCUUCUUCCAGAAAGCCUUCCCAGGCCCAUCAGUUUGGGCCAAAUGCUUUCCUUCUAUGUUCCCACAAAUCCUUGGUGUACCCCCCAAGAAACCGUAAGCUUCCUGAGUGAAGUUGUCUGUGUUGUCUGUCCUGAGAGACAUUGUCUGUGUUGUUUAUAAUUUAGAUUCCAGUGCCUAACAUUGUGCCCAGUACUGAAUAAAAUAAGUACAUGAAUGAAUGUUUGUAAGUCAGUCGUUCAUAACAUGAAAUAUGCUUAACUAUGUGUUUCACUAUUUUAUAGAUAGAUUUGAUCAUUUUGGAACAUGUAAUUCUUAUCAGCACUGAAUAUUAGGAUGAGGAAUUUGGGACCCUUUUGUAGGCACUAGCCUUUUGUUACUGUAGUUAAAUUUUACGAUAAACUAAAACUUGAGGAUAAGUGGUCAAAAUAAAAAAAAGUUUAUGUUAAAGUAGAAACUUAAAAAGGCCUGGUAUUCACUGUUAGAACAAACUACUUUUCUCAGAGUAACAUUGUGCUCAUCUUUAAGUUACUUUAUAAAAAUGUGAAAUCAGCUUUUUUUUUUCUGAUAACAUAGAGCUUAGUGAUAUUUUGAAGUUGCUCUUAAAUCAUCUACAGCUUAAAAAGAACUUUCUAGCAAAGUCAUUAUAGGUAAUGAUUUCUCAAAUGUUUUGAGUUUUUAGUAUUUGUUUAUUAUAUAAAGUUGAAAUAUGUACUAUCAUGAUAAUUAUAAUCAAAUAGAGAGGUCAGACUUGAAUUUUAUAUUUCUACCACUGACAUGCUUUCUGUCAAAUUAACAGGUUUUUUUUAAAUAAAGUUUUGACAUUGGAUUCAUAAGGACUGAUGUCUGUAUCAUACUACAAAUAUAAACUGUUUAAUUUAAUGACAAUGCCUAAACCAGGUAACCGGAGUGAAGACAAAUGAAAUUCUUCCUUUUGUACUGGUCAUUGUGUGAAGGCAAUCAUAGACACAACCUGUGUCCUGGGAUGAGAUAUGUGAAAUGGAUGCAAGUCCUCAAAUGUUAUCAUUUUAUGCAUUCAAAUGGAUAGUCAGAAGACCCAUAAGGCCCCUAAUUUAGAAAUUCCCACAGUUCUCAAUAAAGUGGCUUUCCACUAGUUUGAGUUGUCACCUUUUCCAAAGACUUGACACCACAUCUUCCUCAAUGAAGUAAUUCUGCUUCAAGCAGGUAGAUUUUCAUAUUCAUGGCCUACAGGCCAGAUUUCAAAUGCUCUUUAGUAUUUUCUUUAUGUCAUAGCACACUUGGCUUUUGGGUAGUUUCUGCCUCAUUUUCAUACUAGCUUUGUAAAGAUUUCUGUAGUAUGUAAGAGAACUCUAAAAUUGAGGCUUAUGUAAUUAAAUGAGAUAUAGUUUAGACUUAUGAAAGAACGGCAUGAAGUAUGUGUCUCAUACCAAUAUCAAUGACAUUAAAGUCUCCAUAUGUAUCAAGUUAUCUAUCUUUAGGGAUAUGAAAUGUGUAAGUUUGCCAGUAUAUAAUUCAGUAAUAUUUGAGUGUGUUGGCCGGGCGCGGUGGCUCACACCUGUAAUCCCAGCCUUUUGGGAGGCCAAGGCGGGUGGAUCACCUGAGGUCAGGAGUUCGAGACACCAGCCUGACCAACAUGGUGAAACCCCAUCUCUACUAAAAAUACAAAAAAAAUUAGCUGAGUGUGGUGGCGCAUGCCUGUAAUCCCAGCUAUUUGGGAGGCUGAGGCAGGAGAAUCGCUUGAACCCAGGAGGCAGAGGUUGUGGUAAGCCAAGAUUGUGCCAUUGCACUCCAGCCUGAGUAACAAGAGCAAAACUCUGUCUUUUAAAAAAAAUUUGAGUAUGUUAUUAAUAACUUAUUUGUAUACAGAAAUUAGCCAGGCAUGGUGGUGUGCACCUGUGAUCCCAGCUACACAGGAGGCUGAGGUGGGAGGAUCACUUGAGCCCAGGAAGUGAAGGUUGCAGUGAGCCAUGAUUGCUCCACUGCACUCCAGCCUGGGUGACAAGCGAGAUCCUCUCUCAAAUCAAACAAAAAAAAAACUCACCCCAAAAAACCCAAACUUAUUUGUAAAGUGAUGUUCAGUUGCAUUGUUAUGAAAUAUGGAGUCAUACUUUUUUUAAGCACAAGGAUACUUAUUAAAAAUUAGAAAAGCCUUAGGGUAUUUGUGUGUGUGUGUGUGUGUGUGUGUGUGUGUGUGUUUUAAGAAAUGGAGUCCCUUUCCAUUGCCCAGACUGGAGUACAGUGGCACAGUCAUAGCUCACUGCAGCCUUGAACUCGUGGGCUCAAGGGAUCCUCCUGUCCCCCCGUCCUGAGGAGCUGGGACUGCAGGUAUAUACCACUAUGCCUGGCUAAGUUUUAAACAUUGUUUUAGAAAUGGAGUCUAGCCAUGUUGUCCAGGCUGGUUUCAAACUUCUGGUCUCAGGCAAUCCUCCUCCUGCCUCAGCCUCCCAAAGUUCUGGGAUUACAGGCAUGACCCACCAACGCUGGACUUUUAAUUUUUGACGUUUUUAAAAUUCUUCCUCUAGUCUAAUGGUUUUCAUAUUUAUUUGUUCAUGGAAUACUAUUUUUUUUUUUUUUUUUUUUGAGAUGGAGUCUUGCUCUGUCGCCCAGGCUGGAGUGCAAUGGCGCAAUCUUGGCUCACUGCAAUCUCUGCCUCCCAGGUUCAAGCAAUUCUCCUGCCUAAGCCUCUUGAGUAUUUGGGAUUACAGGCACCCGCCAGCAUGCCCAGCUAAUUUUUGUAUUUUUAGUAAAGACGGGGUUUCACCAUGUUGGUCAGGCUGGUCUCGAACUCCUGAACUCAGAUGAUCCACCUGCCUUGGCCUCCCAAAGUGCCGGGAUUACAUGUGUGAGCCACUGCGCCUGGCCGGAAUACUUUUUAUAUUCUGAUGUCGUGGAAGAACUCCAAAAUGAAGUAAUGAGGUAUAAUAGUAUAUUGCAAUACUUGGAUUACAAUUGACAGGAAAAUAAAACCUUGCAAACUAAUUGCCGUGAGAAGUAGCAAUUGUGAUUCUUAUGCUUUGAAAACUUUAACAGAAUGGAAAAAAUAAUGGUAACAUAUUAGAAAAAUUGGAUUAUUGUAAAAAGAACAAGAAAAACCUAAUUUAAAAUGAAAUUAAAAAAACACUUUCAAUGAGAACAGUGUUUUUAUGUCUUAUCCAUACCCAUCUAAUAUAAGGAGAACUACUUAUUGGGUUCCAUGUUCACUAUUUGGGUGAAAGGUUCACUUGAAGCCCAAACCUCAGUAUUAUGCAAUAUACCCAUGUAAUAAACCUGCACAUGUACUUGCUGAAUCUAAUGUAUAUAUUAGAUUAAUACACACACACGCACACUCACACACACACACAAAUAUAUGGGCAAUGUUUCACUGUUGGAUCUGCAUACCAGAUGCAACAUCCAGUUAUAGUAUUAUAUAUAUUUUUAAUGCAGACAGAUGCAAAAAUCCUUUUCCACACAGAUAUGUUAGAAAUAAAAGGAAAAAUAUAUAGACUUUUACAAUAGUUAGGUACUCUUGAAUCAGACCAUUCCAAAGUGUUUAAUUAUAUAAUUUUCAAUAAUAGCUCAUUUGUCAUCUUUCUUUUUCUUGUCUUUUUCUUUCUUUCUUUCUUUCUUUUUGAGAUGGAGUUUUGCUCUCGUUGCCCAGACUGGAGUGCAAUGGCGCGAUCUUGGCUCACCACAACCUCCGCCUCCCGGGUUCAAGUGAUUCUCCUGCCUCAGCCUCCUGAGUAGCUGGGAUUACAGGCAUGCGCCACCACACUCGGCUAAUUUUGUAUUUUUAGUAGAGAUGGGGUUUCACCAUGUUGGUCAGGCUGGUCUCGAACUCCCGACCUCAGGUGAUCCACCUGCCUCGGCCUCCCAAAGUGCUGGGAUUACAGGCAUGAGCCACUGCACCCAGCCUUAUCGUUUUUCUAGAAACUAAAAUCUCCACAUAUUUAUCUUCAUUUUGAAGUAUUCUGGAUUUCAAGUACUCAUGUACUUGAAAGUUAUAUGUAUUAUAACUUAUGUUGUGAGAGCAGUAUUUUACUAGAUGAACAGUAUGUAUUUCUCUCCAUUCCAGCCUAAUAAUUCAAUAAGAUCUAAAUUCAGCUUUACUAUUUUCUUUAUAAAGUGCUUAAAAUUGAACAAACAGGAGGAGAAAAAGGAAGAGAAGAAAACAGCAAUGAAGUCAUUUAGGAAUGAUAAGCAAAUGUGGCCAGGUGAGGUGGCUCACACCUGUAAUUACAACACUUUGGGAGUCCGAGGUGGGUGAAUCAGUUGAGCUCAAGAAUUUGACACCAGCUUGGGCAAAAUGAUGAAACCUUGUCUCUACAAAAAAUACAAAAAAAAUUAGCUGGGCAUGGUGGCAUGCCUGUAGUCUCAGCUACUUGGGAGGCGGAGGUGGGAGGAUGGCUCAAGCCCAGGAGACAGAGGUUGCAGUGAGCUGAGAGCACGCCACUGCACUCCAGCCUGAGCAGUAGAGCCAGACCUUGUCUCAAAAAAAAAAAAAAAAAAAAGGUAAAUGCAGAGUAUUCCAGAGAUUGUGACAAACUCUUAGCUAUUUCUAUGUUUUUGAGAUUUCCAGCAAGGUUGUGCCAAUGGCUGGAGGGGAUAGAAGAGGUGGUCCAUUCUAGGGCAAUGAAGUGAGUUAGAUAAUUUUUCAAAAAAAAUAAUAAAAUUGAAAGUUGUUCUGCUUUUAAUUAUCAUAUGUGCCUAAAAUUUUUUUAAAUGCCAGUGGUAAAAUACCUCUCCCUAUCCUUAUUCAUGUAGACCACUCCUACCAUGCCGUACCUUUUGGUACACCAUUGGCUUCCAGGAUAUUUAAAAACUGAAGAAAAUACCGAAAACAGGGUUACAAAAAUUUUGGAAUAUUUUAAAUGUGUUAAUUUAAUAAAGUAACUCUUUGUACAAAGGCAAUUUAAUUGAGCUAUUCAUAGGAUAGUUGUAUAAUAUAGAAAUAUGUAACUUACACUGCACUAUGAUAAAUGCCUGACUUUCGGCCCUGUCAGGUUAUCACUUGUGACUAUACAUCUGACCUUUUUUUGAUUUUCUUUAUGGCUAUGAGGGCAGACCAUACACUUUUCUUGUUGCUGUUCUUUUACCUAUUGCACCCCCUUAACCAGAAUGGGCCCUUUUUAAUUGGUAACUAAUUGCCUUAAAGGUAUGUUGAGAAUAUAGCAUUCUUUGAAGGUAUCAACAAAUUUAUAAGAAAAGUUUGUAGAGCAUGAAAUUCAGGAAAUGUUUUCUUUCUUUCUUUUUUAAUCAAUUAAGUAAUUAGAUUUAGUUCUACUAAUAUUACUGAUUUACCUUAAAUCGUGAAUCCAGCUGAUGAACUUUUUGAAAUGUGAAGCACUGGUUAGGAAUUUGAGAACUGCAGAUGUGAGACUCAUCUAGAUCUUAGUUAUGAUUUUAUUGUUCACUUCAUUUGAAGGACAGAGAAAAAAAGGCAGGGGUUGAACAUAAAUCUCAGAGACUGUAUGAGGAUUAAUGAAAUUAUGUCCCUUAUAAAACAUUUGAGUUUUUUUUUUGGUAGAAUGCCAGUAUGUGAGAAUAAAGGAGGAUAUUCACCAGUGUCUUCUAACAUUUAAAAUGUUAGGAGAAGCAGAUCAUAUUUGAAAAUGAAAUUUAGUCUGUGGUUAAUAGUUUAUUUCCUCUUAAAAUUGUUAUCAACUUCCAUAAAUGUAAAUUAUAUAUUUUUAUUUUCAUAUUUUUUGAUAGUCAAUACUUGUUUCCAACAUGGACAAUAUUAAACUGUAAAGUUUCUGAAGUACUCCAGGUUUCUCAAAUACUCUUAUUUCCAGAUGUGUUUUUCCCAGGGCAAGUUGAUAAAGACAUUUUUGACCACCUGAUUUUUGCCUGUUGCCAUUGACUUUUCCUUUUUGAAGUGUGACUAAACUUUGAGAGCUCCUUCUUUGGUAAUUUAUAGAAGAAAAAGCCUUGGAAAAAAUAUUUGUACUUGAUUUUAAGGGGUAACAAAAUUUCUUUGUUGUUUGUUUUUUGGAAUUGUGUUAAAGAAAAUUACGAAAUUGUAAUGACUAAGUGCAUAUUUUUGAAGGGUUUUACUUUGUUUAUUUCCUUCAUCAAAAAAAUAAGCAAACCAGUAACUGUUAACCCUAAUUUAUUUUUACUCUUCAAGUGACAUUACUUUUAACUGGCUACAUUUGGAUAAUAAAAGCCAUGGAUUUUAAACCA